AUUUCUUUUUCUUAGAGUAGCAACGUGCUGUGAGCUGACGGUGGACGGUAGAUGUCUUGCAUGCACGUGUUCAAGUUUAUCUCUAGAGAUUAGUAUUUACAUCUAAUUAUUUUUGUUAACGUACUUGCAAACCUAGACCUUUGGCAAUUCCUUAUUAGCAGGGGUUGGAUAAAGAGGGAAGUGGAAGUUCUCGAAAAACAAGAUCACGCGGAUGUUUUCACCGAACGUCUAAAUGGAGCCCCUGAUGGCGCACACAUUUUACACAGGUGCUGCAGUCUACACUGCAGAAGAAGGCAAAUGACGACUGAACCUGAAAGAUCCUGGUGGUAACACUAUCUCUGUGUCUGUCUGUCUGAAUCAAAUAAAGGCUUUAUUUGUA